ACGGAGGGAAUAGGCCGCGCGGGGGAAGGGCUUACCAAGGGGCGGAUCCUGAGCGGUCAGAGAAGAUGACCAAGGGCGCGGGAACGAAGACACGGUCCAAACUCUACGGGUAGGCAGCAAUGGGGAAUAUCGCACAAUGGCAGCAAGCCUGAGGCAGCCAUGCCGCGUGUAUGAAGAAGGCCUUCGGGUUGUAAAGUACUUUCAGCGGGGAGGAAGGGAGUAAAGUUAAUACCUUUGCUCAUUGACGUAACCCGCAGAAGAAGCACCGGCUAACUCCGUGCCAGCAGCCGCGGUAAUACGGAGGGUGCAAGCGUUAAUCGGAAUUACUGGGCGUAAAGCGCACGCAGGCGGUUUGUUAAGUCAGAUGUGAAAUCCCCGGGCUCAACCUGGGAACUGCAUCUGAUACUGGCAAGCUUGAGUCUCGUAGAGGGGGGUAGAAUUCCAGGUGUAGCGGUGAAAUGCGUAGAGAUCUGGAGGAAUACCGGUGGCGAAGGCGGCCCCCUGG
rnacentral:rRNA from 1 species